GUGGGCUUAGAGCUGUGAGGGAAUUCGGAGUGGCCACCCGUUCUGAAAGUUUGAUUUUCUUCUGGUAAGGAUAUUGCAAGAGACGUUAAUUCACUGUGUUAGUCUGAUUUCUCCUGUUUCGUGUGAGGUUCAAGGUAGUCUCCAUGUUGUUUCUUCGUCAAAAUGAAAUCAGGUGGUUCGCAAACUUGAACGGGUUGGUACCGCGGGAGCUCGGUCAAACUAUUAACUUUCUAUAAACUAUUUCAGUAGGAGCAUGGUUAAACUAUAGUAGGAUGCUUGUAACAGAUUAUAUACUUAUCUAAUAUUUGGGUUGAACUUUACGUAAA